GACGAACGCUUGCGGCGUGCCUAAGAAAUGCAAGUCGAACGGGAUUCACUCUUCGGAGUGGGUUCAGUGGCGAACGGUCGCGUAACACGUAGGCAACCUGCCCCGAAGUGGGGGAUAACAGCCCGAAAGGGUUGCUAAUACCGCAUGUGGUCACGGACUCGCAUGAGUUUGUGUCCAAAGGGUUCUCUGUCAAAGGGGGACUCGCUUCGGGAUGGGCUUGCGGCCUAUCAGCUUGUUGGUGGGGUAACGGCCUACCAAGGCGUUGACGGGUAGCUGGUCUGAGAGGAUGGUCAGCCGGAUUGGGACUGAGAUACGGCCCAGACUCCUACGGGGGGCAGCAAUUAGGAAUCUUGCGCAAUGGGGGCAACCCUGACGCAGCGACGCCGCGUGCGGGAUGACGGCAUUCGUGUCGUAAACCGCUUUUGAAUGGGAAGAAGAAUGUGACGGUACCA
rnacentral:rRNA from 1 species